rnacentral:tRNA from 1 species
AUUUAUAUAGUUUAUUAAAACAUUACAUUUUCACUGUAAAAAUAAAACACUAGUUUUUAUAAAUA